GAGUAACACGUGAGUAACCUGCCCUUAACUCUGGGAUAAGCCUGGGAAACUGGGUCUAAUACUGGAUAUUGACUUUUCCUCGCAUGGGGUUUGGUUGAAAGCUUUAGUGGUUUUGGAUGGACUCGCGGCCUAUCAGCUUGUUGGUGAGGUAAUGGCUCACCAAGGCGACGACGGGUAGCCGGCCUGAGAGGGUGACCGGCCACACUGGGACUGAGACACGGCCCAGACUCCUACGGGAGGCAGCAGUGGGGAAUAUUGCACAAUGGGCGAAAGCCUGAUGCAGCGACGCCGCGUGAGGGAUGACGGCCUUCGGGUUGUAAACCUCUUUCAGUAGGGAACAAGGCCACACGUUGUGUGGUUGAGGGUACUUGCAGAAGAAGCACCGGCUAACUACGUGCCCAGCAGCCCGCGGUAAAUACGUAGGGUGCAAGCGUUAUCCGGAAUUAUUGGGCGUAAAGAGCUCGUAGGCGGUUUGUCGCGUCUGCCGUGAAAGUCCGGGGCUCAACCCCGGAUCUGCGGUGGGUACGGGCAGACUAGAGUGAUGUAGGGGAGACUGGAAUUCCUGGUGUAGCGGUGAAAUGCGCAGAUAUCAGGAGGAACACCGAUGGCGAAGGCAGGUCUCUGGGCAUUAACUGACGCUGAGGAGCGAAAGCAUGGGGAGCGAACAGGAUUAGAUACCCUGGUAGUCCAUGCCGUAAACGUUGGGCUCUAGGGUGUGGGGGGACAUUCCACGUUUCCGCGCCGUAGCUAACGCAUUAAGGCCCCGCCUGGGGAGUACGGCCGCAAGGCUAAAACUCAAAGGAAUUGACGGGGGCCCGCACAAGCGGCGGAGCAUGCGGAUUAAUUCGAUGCAACGCGAAGAACCUUACCAAGGCUUGACAUAAACUGGAAACGCUUGGAAACAAGUGCCCCGCUUGCGGUCGGUUUACAGGUGGUGCAUGGUUGUCGUCAGCUCGUGUCGUGAGAUGUUGGGUUAAAGUCCCCGCAACGAGCGCAACCCUCGUUCUAUGUUGCCAGCACGUAAUGGUGGGGACUCAUAGGAGACUGCCGGGGUCAACUCGGAGGAAGGUGAGGACGACGUCAAAUCAUCAUGCCCCCUUAUGUCUUGGGCUUCACGCAUGCUACAAUGGCCGGUACAAUGGGUUGCGAUACUGUGAGGUGGAGCUAAUCCCAAAAAGCCGGUCUCAGUUCGGAUUGGGGUCUGCAACUCGACCCCAUGAG
rnacentral:rRNA from 1 species